AGUGAUUAUAACAACAAAAUCACUCGCCAGAGUACUACUAGCAACAGCUUAAAACUCAAAGGACUUGGCGGUGCUUCAUACCCCCUAGAGGAGCCUGUUCUAUAAUCGAUAAACCCCGAUCAACCUCACCAACCCUUGCUAAUUCAGUCUAUAUACCGCCAUCUCCAGCAAACCCCUAUAGGGAUCAAUAGUAAGCUUAACUAUUCAAACAUAAAAACGUUAGGUCAAGGUGUAACCGAUGGGAUGGGAAGAAAUGGGCUACAUUUUCUUGUCCUAAGAAAAUCUCAAAAUACUUACGAAAGCCCCCAUGAAACUGAGGGCCCAAGGAGGAUUUAGUAGUAAAUCAAGAACAGAGUGCUUGGUUGAACUAGGCCAUGGAGCACGCACACCCCGCC
rnacentral:rRNA from 1 species